GCAUUUUUUUCGUCUCAACACAGGUUAAGGCCGGAUCCAACAACCUAUAAAACAAUGUGUAAAAGACUACACCUUCGGCAUCAUAGUGCCAUCUAAUCUCAUUUUCUCUCUAUAUGGUCUACUAUAUAUGUGCUGAGCACCAUCUAAUACGUGUGGUUGGCGUGAGUUUGAUUAAAUCUGCACAUGAAGAUGCUUUGUAGUCUGCCAUCAUGUGCUCUAAUGUUCUUUCUACUAGAACAUGGGUCAGAUAACCGAAGGCAAGAAGAGAAAGGGUACCAGCGACAAGAGACGCCCGGCCAAGGCCCUCUUCAAGGGGAAGCAGAAAUCUUAGUCUUGCCAGACUGCAGUUGCAGAACCGGGCCAGGACAAGCGCGCCAGCAAGGAAAUCAACCAUGAGGCUGCAGAUGAGGCUUCUCCUCGGUUUGCCAGCUGAGGAGGUCCGGCCUCAUCUCCUCCGUUGGAAACAGUCCUAUAAGCUUCCUCUUUGUCAUGUCCCCCUCCCCAUGUACACAAAUAAGAGGAAAGGAAGCAGUGAAACAGGUCCCGACAGGGAGAAGCGACGGCAGAAAUAAAAUGAUGUGCGGUUGCAUUGUCUUGUGGUGUUGAUCAUCUGAUGGACAGAGAGGAGUUUGCUUCCAGGAUCUGUCAAGGACAGAGCGAUCAUGUCGCUGCAGAUGUUGUGACAACGCGUUGUGCUCGAUGUGUUCAUCUAUGUCGAUGCUAUCCUGGGCAGGGCACUUCCCGUCUAAAUAUUGUUACAGGUCAGGUCCAUGUUUAGGUUUUUAACUGAAGCCUGCAGAUGAUGGUCACAGAUCAUUUCCAGGCACGAUGAACUCAGUUUAGAUAGGAGACCCAUACAACUACCUCUGUUUAUUGUACUUCUCUAUCUGAUGAGUUGAGGUUUACCUGCUUUAGUUCUGAUCUUUGUACUGUCUGUUGUUGUAUGUACCUGCACUAAAUGAGUAUACCAUAGGUUGCACUUUAUUGACCUACUGUCUCCGUGGUGUUUGUUCUUAAGCGUGUUCCAGUUAUCAAUCAGACUACCAAUGAGUAAUUUCACUGAAAUGAACCAACUGAAAGCAUGCUUUAGAGUGUCGCAGCUAUUUUCUUCUGGCCUUUGCUCUUGGAUCUCUUUCAUGUGAUAGUUUUGGUUUUGAUUCAGGCAGUAACUCAGGACAGAAACAAAGCACCCAUGGUGCCUCAGAGAAAGAUAACAUACCAGUUAUUGUCGGCUGAAUCCGCGCUUACUUCACGGGAGGUUGCCUAAAUCCUCUAUCAUUCCUCCUUAGACUCUUGAAGGUGAUGGCACCCUAUCCGCUCAAUCGCCAGUGAGCUUACUCAGUUUGGGUCACUGGUGCCUGCUGCCGGAGCCGGAUGGCGCAAGUCUAGCUCCUCAUCCUCCAGCUCUACUGCCGGUCUGGCCCUGCAAACAAGCGGGCGGCUUGCUAUUGCUCGCAAUGGCAUCCCCAGCGUGGCAUGGAACAAACGUAGGAUCCAGCGAAGACCAGCCACACCGGCUCGACAGCACGAUGCACUGGUGGAAACUACCUCCUUCGCCCUCGGGCUCUACGAAUCAACGACGCGGCUGAGCUUCAGUAUUGCGAGCCUCGCCCGCACGUGCCUGCACACUUUCAGUCAUCAAAGCAUGCCGGCC